rnacentral:rRNA from 1 species
AGUGAACGCUGGCGGUAGGCCUAACACAUGCAAGUCGAACGGCAGCACAGUAAGAGCUUGCUCUUACGGGUGGCGAGUGGCGGACGGGUGAGGAAUACAUCGGAAUCUACUUUUUCGUGGGGGAUAACGUAGGGAAACUUACGCGAAUACCGCAUACGACCUACGGGUGAAAGCAGGGGAUCUUCGGACCUUGCGCGAUUGAAUGAGCCGAUGUCGGAUUAGCUAGUUGGCGGGGUAAAGGCCCACCAAGGCGACGAUCCGUAGCUGGUCUGAGAGGAUGAUCAGCCACACUGGAACUGAGACACGGUCCAGACUCCUACGGGAGGCAGCAGUGGGGAAUAUUGGACAAUGGGCGCAAGCCUGAUCCAGCCAUACCGCGUGGGUGAAGAAGGCCUUCGGGUUGUAAAGCCCUUUUGUUGGGAAAGAAAAGCAGCAGGUUAAUACCCCGCUGUUCUGACGGUACCCAAAGAAUAAGCACCGGCUAACUUCGUG